UUCAUAUCUCUCUCUCCAACUUUUCACUCCGCAGUCCUCUCCUCUGUUCUCUCUAAUUCUCAAAAUUUUCAAAAAAUCCUGAUGUUGCUGACUUGCUUUUGCCGCUACCACUCUCACGCCAAACCACCGUCAUCGCCACCAUGGCGCCACUUACCAGCCACCAUUUCUCUCCCCCAACGAUCUAUCAACCCCUGCUAUGCCUCUGUCGGCUCCACUGCCUAGCAUCUCCAAUCUGCACCGCCGGCCCAAUCACUUCCCAGAUGAUAGAGCAUAGAGCUCCAGCCAAGCUAUAUUGCCAGAAAAGGUUUUGAAGCAUUCCUUAUGGAUUGAUAUCUUGAUGCUAGCAAGACUAAUUUUCAGUGUCAUUAAAGUUUUAGACUUGAUAUGAAUGAACUUCUUUUUACUUCGAAACAUGUAAUGAGACAAAAAAGACUUGCUUGAGUUUUAUGUUGUAUCAUUCAAUUUUGACACUUGAGUGUCCCUGUUUAUGUAUACAAAAACCCUUACAAUGAUGUAUAGUACAAACCAAGAGAAUGUAAUAAAGUGCAAUUAUUCUUUUCUUGAUA